CUCGCCUGUCCGCGUUCGCUCGUGGAAUACCUGGUACUGUGGCUUCGAAUUAUGGAGCGUGGAAGAAUUUGUUGAAAGUUGUGCUUUCGUGCGCUGGUGUUCAUCGGCAAUUCGACAGUGUUCGCGCCGGAAAGAGCGUCGUCGUGUGGUGCCUGCGAGACGAAGCCGUUUGCCGACCACAUUGAAGGUGCCUUGUGAGCUCUCACCCAAGCAACACAUUCCAGAGGUCUGCUGUGAGCAGACGUGGCAAAUUGAAGUAACAUCCAGAUAGUCCAAUAAACUGUUCGUAGUUUCAGACACA